UACAGAGGGGGCGAGCGUUGUUCGGAAUUACUGGGCGUAAAGGGCGCGUAGGCGGCCUGCUAUGUCGAACGUGAAAUCCCCGGGCUCAACCUGGGAACUGCAUCUGUGACUGCAUAGCUAGAGUACGGUAGAGGGGGAUGGAAUUCCGCGUGUAGCAGUGAAAUGCGUAGAUAUGCGGAGGAACACCGAUGGCGAAGGCAAUCCCCUGGACCUGUACUGACGCUCAUGCACGAAAAGCGUGGGGGAGCAAACAAGG
rnacentral:rRNA from 1 species